GUUUGUGAAAGUGAUCUGGCUGCCACAUCUGUCACCCCAUUGAUCACCAGAGUUGAUUCAGCUGAUCUGGCUAGCUAGGUGGGUUCCUCUUCCUCCCUCAGCACUCCAUGUGCAUCCCUCCUGAAGCUGCGUGCUCAAUGGAAGAGGACAACCAUCCCAGAUGGAAACAGUGUACUGUUCUUUGGUCAAAGGUGUACAAUAGCUGCAUUCCCGUGCUAGAACCUCCAACAAGCUCAUAUCCAUACUAUGCCAUUUUAUCAUAUUCAAGGGAGGUUUUACCCCAGCCCCCAUUCCAAGCAAAUCUCUCCUGUGCAGAGCAGCUUUUUGGUUGGUGGG
rnacentral:snRNA from 1 species